GCCCGCUUCCCGUGCGCUCUCCCUCACCCCAGCUGCUCUGGAUGCCACAGGAAGCCUCCAUUCCUGCCCCACGAUCCAGAACCUCACCCCUGGAUUAAAGUAGAUGGAUCUAGAACUGAACCAAACCUGUGAAUCAUUCAACAAACACUUACUGGAUACUGAUUAAGUGCAAGUCACCUGUGGAGAAUUCAAGAUGGCUGCAAAUACUUGUACCUACCUUCCAUUGAGAAGCGGGGUCUUUGCCCCCAUCCUUGAAUCUGGGCAGCCUUUGGGACUGCUUUGAGCAAUAGAAUAUGGCAGAAGUGUUGCUGUACCAGUUUUGAGGCCCAGACCUCCAAGAAACAAACAACUUGAGCUUUCCAACUUCCUGUCUCUCAGGAUGCUCUCUCUGGGAGCUUUGAGCUGCCAUAUAAGAAGUCCGACUUCUGUGCCCACCACAUUGGCGAGGCCACGGGCAGGCAAUCUGGUCAACAGUCCCAGCUGAGCCCAGGCUCCUAGCCAGCCCUGCCAAGGUGCCAGACACGUCAGUGAGGCCUCCUGGAAUCCUCCAGUAACAGGACUUUGAAUAUUAAUUGGAUAUACAGAGGCACAGACUGAAGACUACACUUUCCAGCCUCCCAUGCAGCUGGAUGGAGCCAUACAACCAAGUUUCGGCCAAAGGAAAGAACGUGGCUCAGAUGGAUGUGCCAGAGGAAAUGCACCAGGAAAUCCCGAGCAGGGUGCAAUCAGUCACCAUUAAUGCUCACAAGUAUCAAAGCUACUUGAAGAAAUACAGCUACUUAUGGAUGGAUGAUAAAAUUGAAUUCACGAAGCAGUUCCUUCUCCAUGAGUGAUUUCUUAGUGCUGAAAAACUAGAAUUGCAUGUGGACUAUGAGUGUCAGAACUCCACACUGCAGUUAGCACACUUUACAGAACACGUAUUGAAUUUUAGCUGAGUCUAGCAUCAUCUUUUUCAACUCCCAGGACAGCUGUUAAAUCAUAAAAUAUUUUGAGAUAUAAAGCUCUUGCCUCUGAGAGAUCUUUCCUUUUUUUCCCCUUUUCCUUUAAGAUCAACAUCUAUGAAAUAUUAUGUGAAGGAAUUGAUAACUUUAAAAAUCAGAAGAUAUUUAGUGGCUAGCUUCAACUUGAUACUUUUAAAAAUCCAUGAUGAAUGUUACAAAAAAUGAGAUUUGAUGUUUAAGGAGCAUCUGCUUAACCAUUGUAACCUGUAGGUAGAGUAAUUUGAAUCUGAUUGUGAAAGGAAAUUAAAAUAACACAAAUCAUUUGAUGAAACUAUCCUCAUAGAAUUCUAAUUUAACUCAAAUAAUAAGUAUUUUAAUGGUUCUCCUAUGUGCUUAUUUUUAAUGUCGUAUUCUGUAAGUUACAAGAGAGUUGCUUUCAUGCAUGUGAAAUGCAAUUCUCUUCUUGCAAAAACUUGACACAAUGCUUAUCCAUUUGAUUUGAUUGCAUUUACGUGUUCAUUAAUAUAAUUGAAACAUGUAGCUUCCCCCAAGUUUUCACAGGCUCAUCCCUAAUUAACUGUUGGCAUUUUCUCAUAUUAUAUGUUAGUAUAACUGAGUUAGGGCAAUUUAUUGAUGAAAUAGGGAAAGAUUGAGCAGAGGACGUGAAGUGGGAAUUCAGCCCAUUGAGUACUGAUUGGGGGACUGUGGGCAGCUGGACCAUGCCAGGCAAUAGCCCUAAAAUCUCUGCUAUUUUAACUGCUUUACUAAAGCAUCCAGAAGAGAUUUAUAUGGGCAUAAGUGAUAGGGACUCAAGAGAGAGAGGUUAUCUCCAGGAGAUAGUAUUACUUUCCCCCAACUGGGCCCUGAACCACAAGUCAAAGGAGACUCAUGGUCUUCUAAGUAUGUUCUGUGUAUUUACAGGGUAUUUAAAAAAGUUUUAAAGAUUUAAUAGAACAGUCUGUGAACUUGGAAGGAGAAAAGAGAGCUUCUAAUCCUUGCUCAGCACUUUUGAGCACUGUGAUCUUGCUUGAGUGAGUUAGCCUGAGCGCAUUUCUUCACAGUGCCCUUGUGGGGUCUAAAUGCAAUACUUAUACAGGCUGCCUUGAUGUAGCCAACCAGUAUAUGUUUAUUGAAAUAUGAGGCUUUUAACCUUUUUUCUUUUCUUUUCUUUUUUUUUGUUUUUGAGAAGGAGUCUCGCUCUGUCGCCCAGGCUGGAGUGCAGAGGCGUGAUCUCGGCUCACUGCAAGCUCUGCCUCCUGUGUUCACGCCAUUCUCCUGCCUCAGCCUCCCGAGUAGCUGGGACUACAGGCGCCUGCCACCACGCCCGGCUAAUUUUUUGUAUUUUUAGUAGAGAUGGGGUUUCACUGUGUUAGCCAGGAUGGUCUUGAUCUCCUGACCUCAUGAUCCACCUGCCUCAGCCUCCCAAAGUGCUGGGAUUACAGGCAUGAGCCACCACGCCCGGCCCUUAACCUUUUUUUAAAUCAAGGAUAGGAAAUGAAAUCCACAAAGGAGGUGGUCAAUAAAAUAAGCAAAGGAGAUUUAAAUGGAGAUAACUUUUCAAAUUAAGAGUUUAAAGUCUUAUUUUUUUGUCCUUUACAGAUUAAUGUGAGGAUAUCUGACUAAAAGAAUUAAGAAACCCCUACCUUUAUUAUUUAUUUAUUUUUUGAGAUGGAGACUUGCUCUGACACCCAAGCUGGAGUGCAGUGGUGUGAUCUCGGCUUACUGCAGUCUACACUUCCCGAGUUCAAGCGAUUCUCCUGCCUCAGCCUCUUGAGUAGCUGGGAUUACAGGUGCCCGCCACCACGCCUGGCCAAUUUUUUUGUUGUUGUAUUUUUAGUAGAGACGGGGUUUCACCAUGUUGGCCAGGGUGGUCUCGAACUCCUGACCGCAAGUGAUCUGCCCACCUUGGCCUCCCAAAGUGCUGAGAUUACAGGUGUGAACCACUGUGCCCGGCCCCUAC
rnacentral:lncRNA from 1 species